rnacentral:rRNA from 1 species
GUAAGGAAUAUUGGUCAAUGGAGGCAACUCUGAACCAGCCAUGCCGCGUGCAGGAAGACGGCCCUCUGGGUUGUAAACUGCUUUUAUCUAGGAAUAAACCUACUUACGUGUAAGUAGCUGAAUGUACUAGAAGAAUAAGGAUCGGCUAACUCCGUGCCAGCAGCCGCGGUAAUACGGAGGAUCCAAGCGUUAUCCGGAUUUAUUGGGUUUAAAGGGUGCGUAGGCGGCCUAUUAAGUCAGGGGUGAAAGACGGUAGCUCAACUAUCGCAGUGCCCUUGAUACUGAUGGGCUUGAAUGAACUAGAGGUAGGCGGAAUGUGACAAGUAGCGGUGAAAUGUUUAGAUAUGUCACAGAACACCGAUUGCGAAGGCAGCUUACUAUGGUUUUAUUGACGCUGAGGCACGAAAGCGUGGGGAUCAAACAGGAUUAGAUACCCGAGUAGUCC